ensembl:lncRNA
GGUGGGUAGGUGGGGUGGGGGAGAGAAGGACUACGGACCACGACCACCGGGCGGUUCAGAUUCCAGUUGGGUAAAGAGGAGAUGGUUCAUGAUGCCGAGGGCCCCAUCCUCCUCAGCUGCAGCGAAGACCAGAGUCGCUUCCGAAGUCGGAACGUGUAAGGCUACGAGAGGUGGGCCAGGAAAGGGUUAAGCAGCCAACCGACGCAAGAGAGAGAGAGAGAGAGAGCAAUUUAAGCAAACCACCGCUGGAUCCUCCCCGGAUCAGGUUCGGCUCUUUCUUUGGAUUCGGGCUCCUUUCAGACGCGCCAAGCUUCCAGGAGAGAUCAGUGGAGCCACGCGCACGAGGAAGAACAGGAUCUCUUUUCUGUCCAGUUCAGAUUCCUCCUUCAAGCUGACAGGAUACUCAAGGAUUUCCCUUUUACCGUCCCUGUCCCCCUGCUUUAGCUGGAGAAAGGAAAGGGAGGGAUUUUUUAAAAAAAAAUAAUAAUAAAUAAGCCAGAGACCUUGCUCCGAUUAUGAAUCUUUUUUGUAGUUCAUCCCAAUUCCAAGUUGCUGGUUUUGGUUUGUUGGGUUGCUUCUCCGCCGGCAAAUGUUGCGCUGCAGACUCGCUCAGCCCGUUUUUUGUUUUUUUCCCGCUCUUUCACACCUACAUGCGCGCGCGCGCCCCCGCGCACAUCCACCCAAGCACACGGGCACCUCUCCACGAACACGGCAUCGUGCGUUAUCCUGGGAUCCGGGCAGCAGCAAAGCGGAGGAUGAUUAACAGCGCGUGCUCUGGAAUAAAGCUUGCCAGGUCUUCCCGCGUAAUUGAAGAGGAGAGACUCAAGAAGCAAAGAGAACCCUGAGGUGGAUGUUCAUAAAACCUCAGACUGCUGAGCACAUGAGAGAACAAUGAAUAUGCCAACAAAUUUCACAUUUCUGUCCUUUAAAAAUGGGAAGGUAAGUGAUGAGCAGGUACACUGUGGAUGUUCAUUGAGCUAGGAUCGAAAUUAGGGGAUGCAUAAAUCUGUCAGUCUUGGUCUCACUGAGCGCCCUCUUUUCCCACUGGAUUUCUUAUUCUCUCUUCACUCUGCAUAAUGAAGCAUUAAUCAGACAAAUGUGUUGCCCAUAUCUCCUUUGAAACUAUGCCUUCUUCAAGGCUACAAGGACAGAAAAUUCCACUAUAGAUAGGAGAAAAAGUACUUUCAAGAUUGUGUAUAUGUAUUAAUGCUGCUGGCUGGAUAGCUCAGUGGUUAAGGUAUCUUGCUGCAGAGCCAGAGGUUAGAAGUUUGAUUUCCCACUGUGCUUCCUGGGAGAAAAGCCAGCCUGUGCAGCUAUGUGCAAGCCAGGGCACCUCUAGGAGAAGAGAAUGGUAAACCACUUAAGAGUAUUUUCUUCCUAGAAGACCCUGGAAAAGGUAAUCAUAAGUCAGAAUUGACUUGAUGGCAUACAAUCAUCAUUAUAAUGUGUGUAGCUGUCAGAUUGCUUCUGACCUACAGUAAUCCUAUAAAUUGGUGACCUCCAAAAGGUUUUAUUAUCAACAGCCCUCCUUGGAUCUUACAGACUAAAGGCCAUAGCUUUCUUUACUGAGCCUAUCCAUGUCAUGCUAGGUAUUUUUUCCUUUCCGACUGUCCUCAGUUUUUCCUAGCAUUAUUGUACUUUUAAUAUUAAUAUUUUCCAGGAAGUAAUACAUUUACUUUCUAGUCACUUUCCAAUGACUCUUCCUUUUUCCUGAUAUGCUGAUAUGCCCAUAUUUCAGGUUAGUAUUAAAACAUUAGGGGCAGUAAUGGCUUCUAAUUUACAGAGAAAGAUAUCUAAAAUGAGCAGCAUCUAUGAUGUCCUAUGCUGUUAUUUAUCUCCAAAAUGAGAAAAUCCCUUGAAAUAUUAAAUGAUUGGUUACAGAGAGCGCAAAUUGGCUGGCCUACAUAUUGUCUCCCUUCCCCUCUUUCCCCACCAUAGUUGAAAAUCAAAAAUACUUAUACAGUGUUCCUUCACUGAAAGAACACUUCUUUGAAGGAUGCAUAAAUCUGAAGAGCUGAUCAUUUCCCUUCUUCCUCUCUUUAUUUAUAAGACUUCUGAAAAUAAAUUUCCAGCAAGGUCCUUUUUGAUUUAACUA